rnacentral:rRNA from 1 species
UACAGAGGUCCCAAGCGUUGUUCGGAUUCAUUGGGCGUAAAGGGUGCGUAGGUGGCGCUGUAAGUCGGAUGUGAAAUUUCGGAGCUUAACUCCGAAACUGCAUUCGAUACUGCGGUGCUUGAGGACUGGAGAGGAGACUGGAAUUCAUGGUGUAGCAGUGAAAUGCGUAGAGAUCAUGAGGAAGACCAGUGGCGAAGGCGGGUCUCUGGACAGUUCCUGACACUGAGGCAUGAAGGCCAGGGGAGCAAACGGG